UCCGUCAGCUGUGGGACCUGACUCAGGGGAAGACCAUCACAGAGUUUAAGUCUCACACCGCGGCCGUCAACAUCGUCCAGUUUCACCCCAACGAGUACCUGCUGGCCUCAGGCAGCUCCGACAGGAGCAUCAAGCUUUGGGAUCUGGAGAAGUUCACGAUGAUCGGCUCCUUGGAGGGAGACACUACUCCAGUCAGGUGUGUGUUCUUCAGCCCGGACGGCGGCUGCCUGUACAGCGGGGCCACAGACUCUCUGCGGGUAUUUGGCUGGGAGCCCGACCGCUGCUUCGACGUGGUGCCGGUGGGCUGGGGGAAGGUGUCGGACCUCGCCGUCUGCAGCCAG